rnacentral:rRNA from 1 species
CAGGAUGAACGCUGGCGGCGUGCUAAUACAUGCAAGUCGAACGCUUUGUGGUUCAACUGAUUUGAAGAGCUUGCUCAGAUAUGACGAUGGACAUUGCAAAGAGUGGCGAACGGGUGAGUAACACGUGGGAAACCUACCUCUUAGCAGGGGAUAACAUUUGGAAACAGAUGCUAAUACCGUAUAACAAUAGCAACCGCAUGGUUGCUACUUAAAAGAUGGUUCUGCUAUCACUAAGAGAUGGUCCCGCGGUGCAUUAGUUAGUUGGUGAGGUAAUGGCUCACCAAGACGAUGAUGCAUAGCCGAGUUGAGAGACUGAUCGGCCACAAUGGGACUGAGACACGGCCCAUACUCCUACGGGAGGCAGCAGUAGGGAAUCUUCCACAAUGGGCGAAAGCCUGAUGGAGCAACGCCGCGUGUGUGAUGAAGGGUUUCGGCUCGUAAAACACUGUUGUAAGAGAAGAAUGACAUUGAGAGUAACUGUUCAAUGUGUGACGGUAUCUUACCAGAAAGGAACGGCUAAAUACGUGCCAGCAGCCGCGGUAAUACGUAUGUUCCAAGCGUUAUCCGGAUUUAUUGGGCGUAAAGCGAGCGCAGACGGUUAUUUAAGUCUGAAGUGAAAGCCCUCAGCUCAACUGAGGAAUUGCUUUGGAAACUGGAUGACUUGAGUGCAGUAGAGGAAAGUGGAACUCCAUGUGUAGCGGUGAAAUGCGUAGAUAUAUGGAAGAACACCAGUGGCGAAGGCGGCUUUCUGGACUGUAACUGACGUUGAGGCUCGAAAGUGUGGGUAGCAAACAGGAUUAGAUACCCUGGUAGUCCACACCGUAAACGAUGAGUGCUAGGUGUUUGAGGGUUUCCGCCCUUAAGUGCCGCAGCUAACGCA